UACGUAGGCAGCGAGCGUUGUUCGGAGUUACUGGGCGUAAAGAGUGCGUAGGCGGUUUUCUAAGUUUGGUGUGAAAUCUCCCGGCUUAACUGGGAGGGUGCGCCGAAGACUGGAAGGCUUGAGUAUGGGAGAGGUAAGCGGAAUUCCUGGUGUAGCGGUGAAAUGCGUAGAUAUCAGGAGGAACACCUGCGGUGUAGACGGCUUACUGGACCAUCACUGACGCUGAGGCACGAGAGCGUGGGUAGCAAACAGG
rnacentral:rRNA from 1 species